UACGGGAGGCAGCAGUGGGGAAUAUUGCACAAUGGGCGAAAGCCUGAUGCAGCUAUGCCGCGUGUAUGAAGAAGGCCUUAGGGUUGUAAAGUACUUUCAUCGGGGAGGAAAAAACAAAACUAAUAAUUUUAUUUCUUGACGUUACCCGAAAAAGAAGCACCGGCUAACUCCGUGCCAGCAGCCGCGGUAAUACGGAGGGUGCUAGCGUUAAUCAGAAUUACUGGGCGUAAAGAGCACGUAGGUGGUUUUUUUAAGUCAGAUGUGAAAUCCCUGGGCUUAACCUAGGAACUGCAUUUUGAAACUGAAAUACUAGAGUAUCGUAGAGGGAGGUAGAAUUCUAGGUGUAGCGGUGAAAUGCGUAGAUAUCUGGAGGAAUACCUGUGGCGAAAGCGGCCUCCUAAACGAAUACUGACACUGAGGUGCGAAAGCGUGGGGAGCAAACAGGGAUUAAUACC
rnacentral:rRNA from 1 species